CUCUAAGGUGUUAUUAGUGUUAUUAAGGUUUCACAAAUACUGUAACAUGACACUUGGCAUAACAACAUGACCACUGACAGGUGAAAUGAAUAACACUGAUUAUCUGUUUAUCAUGGCACCUGUUAAUGGGUGGGAUAUAUUGGCAGCAAUUGAACAUUUUGUUCUCAAAGUCGAUGUUUUAUAAACAUUAAAAAUGUGUAAGGAUUUGAAUGACUUUUACAAGGGCCAAAUUGUGAAAUCUCAUGUGAGGUGUUCCCUGUCUGCAGUGGUCAAUAUUUAUCAAAAGUGGUCCAAGGAAGGAACAGUAGUAAACCGGUGACAGGGUUAAGGGUUUCCAAGACACAUUGAUGCACAUGGGGCGUGAAGGCUGGCCUGUGUGGUCCAAUCCAAAAGAUGAGUUUGUUGCAUAUGGAGCUACAUAGCCGCAGGCCAGACAGGGUGCCCAGGCUGACCCCUGUUCACCACCGAAUGUGCCAACAAUGGGCAUGUGAGCAUCAGAUCUAUACCACAGAGCAAUGGAAGAGGGUGGCCUGGUCUGAUGAAUCAUGUUUUCUUUUACAUCAUGUGGAUGGCCAGGUGCGUAUGCAUUGCUCACCUGGGUGGAACGCAUGGCACGAGGAUGCAGUAUCGGAAGAAGGCUCAAAAUUGGAUUAGGUACAGUGAGGAAAAUAAGUAUUUGAACACCCUGCUAUUUUGCAAGUUCUCCCACUUGGAAAUCAUGGAGGGGUCUGAAAUUGUCAUCGUAGGUGCAUGUCCACUGUGAGAGACAUAAUCUAAAAAAAAAAAAAAUCCAGAAAUCACAAUAUAUGAUUUUUUUUUUAACUAUUUAUUUGAAUGAUACAGCUGCAAAUAAGUAUUUGAACACCUGAGAAAAUCAAUGUUAAUAUUUGGUACAGUAGCCUUUGUUUGCAAUUACAGAGGUCAAACGUUUCCUGUAGUUUUUCAACAGGUUUGCACACACUGCAGGAGGGAUUUUGGCCCACUCCUCCACACAGAUCUUCUCUAGAUCAGUCAGAUUUCAGAAUUUUAAUGCCUGAUUGAAUCAAGCACUGAAACAAAGGAGACGACCUCAGUUCGUCGAACUUUGAACAACAGUUGAAUGGCCAGUGCAAACAGCAAAGGUGAAAGUGGGCACUCCUGCUGUGUUCGCAUUCCCAAACUAAAAUAGCUGAAUCUUACAUCAUUGGUGUGUACGCUUGCCUGGGGUGAAACAUAUAAAUGACGUAUCCAGGAGACAAAAUUAUUCCCAAACCUAAAUUUUUGAAGCACUGUGAAAAGAUAUUCCCACUCCACUCGGUCAAAUGCCUUUUCAGCAUCAAAUGUGAACACAACUUCAGUUGUUACAGCAGAGUGUUUGGAAUUAAUUACAUUUAGAAGCGUGCGAACAUUUAAAAAAUAGCUGUCUCCCCUGUUCGGUCUUCAUAUAUGAUCAUUGGAGGUAUGUUUUCUAGGCGAAGAGCCAACACUUGCUAAAAUCCUCCAUCUACAGUAUGUAAAGACUGAGGUCUAUAGGAGCUACAAGAUUUGUGAUCCUUAUUAUUUUUUAAAAGCAAAAUUAUGGAUGCUUGUGUGAGUGUCUCUGGUAGGAUGCCCUUCUCUAGGGAUUCCAAAUAUAUAGCCUAAAGUAAUGGAGACAAUUUACUUUGAAAUUUCUUUAAAAAGCUCUUCUGGAAAGCCAUCAGGCCCGGCUACUGCAUCAUUUUAAUUGCUUGUGUAAUUUCUUUUAUAUCCAAAGGGGCUUCAAGAUCUUCAACAGCAACUGUAUCAAUUACGGUGACAUUCAAAUCCUCUAAGAACCGAGUUUUGUCAUGGGAGUCCAAUGGAGAUUCAGACGAAUAUAAAGUUGAAAUAAAAGAUUAAAAGACCGCAUUAAUACCCUCAGUGUCAGAUAUCAAAUUACCUAAUGAAUCUUGAAUCUGUGGAAUCAUUCAACUACCUGCUGCGCAUGUUGCAAAAUCGCAGUACAGUCUGAAUGAUAAUGCAAUCUUGCUACAACCGCUCAUGGACGCUCCUCCGUUUUGGGCUUUGGCUUUUUUUACAUUUCAAUUCCAGUAUUUCUGCACAUGCAAUAUAGAACAUAUAGCAUUUACACUGGUCGGCGCUGCUUUUGUGUAUUGUCAUGUAUUUUUGUCCUGCACUUUUUUUUUGUCUUUUGUCUUGCACUGUUUGCACUGGAGAAACAUUGUCUUACUUCACUGUGUGCUGCAAAAGCGAUACAUGGUUGAAAUGACAAUAAAAGCUUCUUGACUUGA